rnacentral:rRNA from 1 species
AACGAACGCUGGCGGCAUGCCUAACACAUGCAAGUCGAACGAACCCUUCGGGGUGAGUGGCGCACGGGUGCGUAACACGUGGGAACCUGCCCUUAGGUUCGGAAUAACACAGAGAAAUUUGUGCUAAUACCGGCUAAUGUCUUCGGACCAAAGAUUUAUCGCCUUUGGAUGGGCCCGCGUAGGAUUAGCUAUUUGGUGAGGUAAAGGCUCACCAAGGCGACGAUCCUUAGCUGGUCUUAGAGGAUGAUCAGCCACACUGGGACUGAGACACGGCCCAGACUCCUACGGGAGGCAGCAGUGGGGAAUAUUGGACAAUGGGCGAAAGCCUGAUCCAGCAAUGCCGCGUGAGUGAUGAAGGCCUUAGGGUUGUAAAGCUCUUUUACUGGGGAUGAUAAUGACAGUACCCAGAGAAUAAGCCCCGGCUAACUCCGUGCCAGCCGCCGCCGUAAAAC